GCUUAUUCUGAUAUUAAGCAACACUUUACAAGCGUUAUCCUUGUCCUUGGUACAUUAAAAGUAAUGCGGUGCAGACGUGGUCUGAAUUAAAAAAUAUUAGCACAAAAAUUUCCCACUUAAACUAUUCCCUCUAAAAUUUCUCACUUCCCCUCUAAAAAUUUUCACUAAAAGUCUAAGCGAUUCCAGUUGUCCCUUUACUUUAGGGUUUGAAACCCACAACCUUCUUCACUUGAUUUAGAAAAAAAAACUGUUCAUUGCACCCAAUCUUCGUCAAAAAAGGAAAAGAAGAAAAUGAUUUCACUUGUGACUCUCUUCAGAAGCAGGAGAUCUAAUUUACUUUAUUUGAUUCCUCCUAAGAUAUGAGUUACAUAAGUCAGUUUCUCAAGACAACAAGAAAGGUUUGAUGUGCCAAUGAAGAAUUGUGACCUUGACAUCAAAGUGGUUUACUUUUCGCAAGUAUUACUCAAACUGAAGGAACAAUAGAAUCAGUCAAGGUCCUUAUAAUUUAUAACUUCUAUCAUAUCUCAUUUAGAUGUGUUAGCUACCUUAUCCUUCUACGAUGAUUCAAGUAACGCAGAGGCUGCUAGAGACCAAAUUUUUUCAAAUUCCUUUGGAUCUAACUCAUAGUCCAAUUCUUGGAAGGGAAAAUUCUUGUGAUGCAAUUAAAAGUGGUGGCCAAAGUCGGUUUGAUCCAUUUGAAGUUAAUGAUGAAGACUUUUGGACAAUACAUUUGAUUUUGUAAAGUUCAUAUUUAGCACGCUACUUGAAGCAAUUUGCUUUAUUGGUUGAUUGUAGUAUAUGAAAUGUAUUCCUUUUUCGAAGUAAAUUGCAUGUAUGUGUUUAAAACAAUCUCUUUUUUUAUUGAUUAAUGAAGUA